GCAUAUCAAUAAGCGGAGGAAAAGAAACCAACAGGGAUUGCCUCAGUAACGGCGAGUGAAGCGGCAACAGCUCAAAUUUGAAAUCUGGCCCUAGGCCCGAGUUGUAAUUUGCAGAGGAUGCUUUUGGUGCGGUGCCUUCCAAGUUCCCUAGAACGGGACGCCAGAGAGGGUGAGAGCCCCGUACAGUUGGACACCAAGCCUUUGUAAAGCUCCUUCGACGAGUCGAGUAGUUUGGGAAUGCUGCUCAAAAUGGGAGGUAUAUUUCUUCUAAAGCUAAAUACCGGCCAGAGACCGAUAGCGCACAAGUAGAGUGAUCGAAAGAUGAAAAGCACUUUGAAAAGAGGGUUAAACAGCACGUGAAAUUGUUAAAAGGGAAGCGCUUGUGACCAGACUUGCGUCCGGUGAAUCACCCAGCUCUCGCGGCUGGGGCACUUCGCCGGCUCAGGCCAGCAUCAGCUCGCUGUCGGGGACAAAAGCUUCAGGAACGUAGCUCUCUUCGGGGAGUGUUAUAGCCUGUUGCAUAAUACCCUUCGGCGGGCUGAGGUACGCGCUCCGCAAGGAUGCUGGCAUAAUGGUCAUCAGCGACCCGUCUUGAAACACGGACCAAGGAGUCAACCUUAUGUGCGAGUGUUCGGGUGUCAAACCCCUACGCGUAAUGAAAGUGAACGCAGGUGAGAGCUUCGGCGCAUCAUCGACCGAUCCUGAUGUUCUCGGAUGGAUUUGAGUAAGAGCAUAUAGGGUUGGACCCGAAAGAAGGUGAACUAUGCGUGUAUAGGGUGAAGCCAGAGGAAACUCUGGUGGAGGCUCGCAGCGGUUCUGACGUGCAAAUCGAUCGUCAAAUAUGCGCAUGGGGGCGAAAGACUAAUCGAACCUUCUAGUAGCUGGUUU
rnacentral:rRNA from 1 species